AUUGAACGCUGGCGGCAGGCCUAACACAUGCAAGUCGAGCGGAUGAAGGGAGCUUGCUCCUGGAUUCAGCGGCGGACGGGUGAGUAAUGCCUAGGAAUCUGCCUGGUAGUGGGGGAUAACGUCCGGAAACGGGCGCUAAUACCGCAUACGUCCUGAGGGAGAAAGUGGGGGAUCUUCGGACCUCACGCUAUCAGAUGAGCCUAGGUCGGAUUAGCUAGUUGGUGGGGUAAAGGCCUACCAAGGCGACGAUCCGUAACUGGUCUGAGAGGAUGAUCAGUCACACUGGAACUGAGACACGGUCAAGACUACUACGGGAGGCAGCAGUGGGGAAUAUUGGACAAUGGGCGAGAGCCUGAUCCAGCCAUGCCGCGUGUGUGAAGAAGGUCUUCGGAUUGUAAAGCACUUUAAGUUGGGAGGAAGGGCAGUAAGUUAAUACCUUGCUGUUUUGACGUUACCAACAGAAUAAGCACCGGCUAACUUCGUG
rnacentral:rRNA from 1 species